rnacentral:tRNA from 1 species
UCCCUUGUGGCUCAGUCGGUAAAGAAUCUGCCUGCAACGCAGGAGACCUGGGUUCGAUCCUUGGUCUGGGAA